AUUGAACGCUGGCGGCAUGCCUUACACAUGCAAGUCGAACGGCAGCACGGGGCAACCUGGUGGCGAGUGGCGAACGGGUGAGUAAAGCAUCGGAACGUGCCCUGGAGUGGGGGGAUAACGUAGCGAAAGUUACGCUAAUACCGCAUAUUCUGUGAGCAGGAAAGCAGGGGAUCGCAAGACCUUGCGCUCUGGGAGCGGCCGAUGUCGGAUUAGCUAGUUGGUGGGGUAAAGGCCUACCAAGGCGACGAUCCGUAGCGGGUCUGAGAGGAUGAUCCGCCACACUGGGACUGAGACACGGCCCAGACUCCUACGGGAGGCAGCAGUGGGGAAUUUUGGACAAUGGGCGGAAGCCUGAUCCAGCCAUGCCGCGUGAGUGAAGAAGGCCUGGUGUAAG
rnacentral:rRNA from 1 species